rnacentral:piRNA from 1 species
UCNCUCUGUAGACCAGGCUGGCCUCAAACU